CGUCUAUAUACGUAUAGCAUAUCAAUAAGCGGAGGAAAAGAAACUAACAAGGAUUCCCUUAGUAACGGCGAGUGAAGCGGGAAGAGCUCAAAUUUGAAAUCUUCAAGGUUUUACCUUGACGAAUUGUAGUUUAAAGAAGUGUUUUCUGUUAGAGUUGAGUAGCAAAAGUUCUUUGGAAUAGGGACAUCAUAGAGGGUGAGAAUCCCGUAUUUGGUUAUUCUUUCUAGCUUUGUGAUACACUUUCAAAGAGUCGGAUUGUUUGGGAAUGCAGUCCAAAAUGGGUGGUAAAUUUCAUCUAAAGCUAAAUAUUGGCGAGAGACCGAUAGCGAACAAAGUACCGUGAGGGAAAGAUGAAAAGAACUUUGAAAAGAGAGUUAAACAGUACGUGAAAUUGUCAAAAGGGAAGCGUUUGACACCAGUGUUGUUUUUCCGAAAAUCAAUUAAGAACGGACUUGAUUUUGUGUUGUAUUGACCCUUAUCAGCUUUCUUCACUCUUUUUCGAGUCUUUCUUAAUGCACUUUUCGGUUAACAAGUCAACAUCAAUUUCUUUUGUUGUAAAAGGGUAUUUGGAAGGUGGCUUUCUUUUCGGAGAAAGUGUUUAUAGCCUUAUGACCUCUAGCAAUCGGAGAGAUUGAAGUCUGCAGCGUAGAUCCUUCGGGGCUAGAUACACUUGUGCUAAGUUAUAGCUUUUCAUAGACAACUUGUUGACUAUGUUUAGUCAUGUAGCUUACCCGCUUGUGCUAUUUUACCUACGCUUAGGAUGUUGAGUCAUCACACAUCUCU
rnacentral:rRNA from 1 species